rnacentral:tRNA from 1 species
GGGCAUAUAGCUCAGUAGUAGAGCACUUGCCUAACAUGUGCAAGGCCCUGGGUUUGAUUCCCAGCACGUGCG